CCAGGUCUCGCCCAGCGUGGUGUUCACAA
rnacentral:rRNA from 1 species